CAAAGUGUAGCUUAACUAAAGCAUCCGGCUUACACCCAGAAGAUUUCAUUUAUUAAUGACCACUUUGA
ensembl:Mt_tRNA